rnacentral:rRNA from 1 species
AUUUGAAAUCUGGCUCUUUCAGAGUCCGAGUUGUAAUUUGCAGAGGGCGCUUUGGCAUUGGCAGCGGUCUAAGUUCUUUGGAACAGGACGUCACAGAGGGUGAGAAUCCCGUAUGUGAUCGCUAGCCUUUGCUGUGUAAAGCCCCUUCGACGAGUCGAGUUGUUUGGGAAUGCAGCUCUAAAUGGGAGGUAAAUUUCUUCUAAAGCUAAAUACUGGCCAGAGACCGAUAGCGCACAAGUAGAGUGAUCGAAAGAUGAAAAGCACUUUGGAAAGAGAGUCAAAUAGCACGUGAAAUUGUUGAAAGGGAAGCGCUUGCAGCCAGACUUGCCUGUAGUUGCUUAUCUAGACUUUUGUCUAGUGCACUCUUCUGCGGGCAGGCCAGCAUCAGUUUGGGCGGUUGGAUAAAGGUCUCUGUCAUGUACCUCUCUUCGGAGAGGCCUUAUAGGGGAGACGACAUGCAACCAGCCUGGACUGAGGUCCGCGCAUCUGCUAGGAUGCUGGCGUAAUGGCUGUAAGCGGCCCGUCUUGAAACACGGACCAAGGAGUCUAACAUCUAUGCGAGUAUUUGGGUGUCAAGCCCAGAUGCGUAAUGAAAGUGAACGGAGGUGGGAACCCUUUGGGUGCACCAUCGACCGAUCCUGAUGUCUUCGGAUGGAUUUGAGUAAGAGCAUGGCUGUUGGGACCCGAAAGAUGGUGAACUAUGCUUGAAUAGGGUGAAGCCAGAGGAAACUCUGGUGGAGGCUCGCAGCGGUUCUGACGUGCAAAUCGAUCGUCAAA